ensembl:lncRNA
GAUAAAGCCUAAGCCAAAAGCUAAGGCAAGCCUGAGGGACAGUGCACAGAUCUGUACGCUGAGCCCACGGGGGUCCACGCAGCCCAGGGACAGAGGAGGAGAGGAGCCACUGCCGUGCGCUGUCACCUCCCGGCCAGCAACCUGGGCAGGAAGUGCGGGCCAGCGCCCACGGAAGGCGCAUCAGAGAACAGGGCCAGUGCCAGGGACAGCAGGGAGGCCAACGGGGCCAGCGCAGGGGGACACACGUGCUCCUUCUGAGUGACCUGGGACACCACCCAGGGCUCCGAGUGCCCUUGCUUGUGCCGACCGUGGUGGCUGGAGAACGGCGGCCCGUGGUGAGGAGAUCCUGAGAACGAGACCCUUUCCUGACACCACCCAGGAGCCAUGGGACUGCAGGGGGCUUUGCCGGCCCAGCCUGCUCCUGCCCCUGGGAGGAAGGGACAGACUCCGGCCGCCUGUGAGUUCUGAGGGAGGCGACAUGGGCCUCAGAGGGCUGUGCGGUGACACCCCUGUCCUGACUCCCCAUCACCUCCCACCAGCACCCCGCAAGGCAGCGUGCUGGGGUCCCGUCCCCACAGCAGGUGAGGGGUGCACAUCUGAGCCCGGGGCCUGAGCAGAGGACAAGAGGAGCAUUUGAUGUGUGGGAGGGACCCCAAGCCCGCUCCCCACUCUGUCCACUCUGUCGCUUUCUCCACAUCAGCCGCUUUCUCCACAUCAGCUGGGGGUCCCCGGGUCCGACGAUGUCCCUGGUCCUUCUCGUGGGGUGAGGGCCCAGGCCCUGCCCUCAGGAUGCAGACCCCACAGUCACUUCCAAGCCUCACACCCCUUUACCCCACCGCCUUCAGAGAGCGGCUUCCCAGGCCGCCCGGAAAGCCUGCUCCUCAGGCACGCAGAGCAGAGCACCUGCUUGCUGUGUCGGCACCGGGCAGCGCGAAAGUGUGCAGGCCUGCAGCUCAAAAAGAGCUGCUCCUGCCCUUCCGCAAGGGCGUCAGGGCACGGGACAGAUCACUCUGGGCCCUUGGCCCCGCUGGCCUCCAAGCCGAUGGCUGCCCUGCUGCUCCUGGGUCAGGCCUGAGGCUGAGCCUCUUCCAGCUGCUCCCUCACCUCCCCAGGGCCCUUCACAGGCCCCUGUGCUUCCCGGAUCCCUCUCUGAGGGCCAGACUCACUUCACCUCUACACGCCCUGCUGCCUGGAUCCACGCCUGCCUUUGGGGUGGAAGAAGAGACUCGGACUCCGGAGACCGAGCUGAAGGGACGGUGGGCGUGCGCAGCAUCAUCCAACCUGCUGACUGUGAGGGAACCGAUCGACGUCACAGGAGGGACAGUGCUGAAAGGAGCACUGGCCCGGGCUCAGCUGCCUUCCACCUUUCACAGCUAGUUUGCAAUUUAAGGACCACAAGCCAUUUGCUGCAAGGUUCAGAGGCACAGCAGCCUGGAGAGACGAAGGAAGGUGACUUAGAAAGGCGCACUCGCGUGUUGCCCCAUUUCAGCACGCGCUGCUCUGGACAGGAUGUGUCCGGGACACUUUCUCCCCACGGGCGUGAGCCUGCGCUGGACCCGGGCUGACACGGCCCAUAGGACACCUGGUCCCCGUGGGACACUCCCGAGGAUCGGCCGCAGCUGCCUCUGCGCGGCCCUCGCUUAGGAGCUCGUGGGUCGAGUCCAGCGUAACUGACUAAGACGAAGAAGGGGGCAGCAGCCAUUCCUUAGGGCAAAGGGGCCUCGCAAACUGAAUGGCUGCUCGGGCUCCGAGUUCCAGACCACAGAGCCUGGCUCUGGCAGAGGUAAGAGGAGGACACGCAGCCCAGCCCUGGGAGCCCAGGGACCAAAGGCAAAGGCAGAGGCCAGGGGUCAGUGCACAGUGGCCACCACAGCAGCGGGACUCUGGCCGGGACCUUGCGGUCACCACUGCUGGACCUCCAGAGUGCAUGGGGCCAGGGGCACCUCACAGACCUGGAGGCUGCCUUGCUUCUUCAACCUCUGGCCACAGCGGGGGAGCUUACCGUGGGGUUUCAGCGGCACCCGCCAUCCAGCUGACUGGAGUCUUGGAACGGGGUGGCGUCCUCGCGCGUGGGAGCAUGGCGGUGCCAUCCCCGGGCCUCGGACUUCCCACAGACAGGAGGUGCUCGGUGGGGACAGCCCAUGACAACCGAGCACAGUGCGUUCCCUAAGGCUGCCAUAGCCGAGUACCAUGACCUGGUCACCACACAACAGCACUGACCGCCUCCCAGCUCCAGGUCCAGAUCAGGAGCUCGGGACCCCUGCAAGGUUCUCUGGGCUCUGGGAAGCCUUCCCGCCCUCAGCCUUGGCCAGGUCACAGCCUCCAUUUCCACCAGGCCCCCUCGUCUGCCACUGUGGCUGUCUUCUUCUGAGGGUGCCAGUUGUGAUGGUUGAUUAUGUCAACUUGAAUAAAGGACACCUGCUGUACUGGCUCAGCACAGUUCUGGGUGUGGAAGACUCACCCUAGGGCAGCUUGUCAUGCUAUAAAGGGAAAUGAAGAAGGACGACAAGGCUGUUUCUAGCUUCUUCAGAGGAGCCCAGUCUUCACCCACUCCAUCGCAGAGCCUUCGGCCUCCUGAUCCAGACGCGCUUGGGACACCACAGGAAGCUCCAGGCCUCGGCUGGAUCCUUCGGGUCCCCAGUGGGCAGGCAGAGCCUCUGCGCUCUUCAGCCCCGACUGCGGGCGGCCACUGUAGGCCAACUGUAGUCCUUAUGUAUUUGCAUGUCUCACAUUAGCUGUUUCUCUAGUAAUCACUGAUGGAUACACCAGUCAUGUCCAAGAUGGGACAUGUCACCCUAAAUAACUGAUGACAUCGGCAGUGACCUGAUUUCAAGGUCAUGUCCCAAGGUACAGGCGUCAAGACCUCAGCGUAUUCUUCUUGGCAGACCCAAAGGAAUCCAUGAUAUGCCACCACGAUCUUCCCAUUUGGUGUUUGUUUUGCAUUCUUCUGUUGCAGGACUGGGGAUUGAACGCAGGGCCUCAUGCAUGCUGGACAAGUGUCCUACCCCCAAGCCACAUCCCCAGCCCUUUUUAGUUUUGUUUUUUUCUUUUUUUUUGGAAGCAGGAUUUUGCUAAGUUGCCCAGGCUGGGCUCAAACUUGCCAUUCUCUUGCCUCAUCCUCCCAAGUGCUGGGAUUACAGGCAUGCCACUGUGCCCAGCUAGAGCCGAGGCUUUCCACCUAGGUCAGUGGGUACAACUCACAGGGCCCGUAGACUUGGACAGGAAAGACUUGCGUCUCACUCUCAUUGACCCUAACUGAACUCAGCGUACCGGCAUUCAUUAUGUGGGCAGUUAUGUGGGCAGUGGGCCAGGACUGGCAGCCUCUGAGGCUAGAGGAGGCUCCGAGACACUUCAAAACCCUGCUGGGCACCAGGUGAGAGUGUCCCGACCAGAGGAGCAGGUGCGCAAUGUUCCAGCUGUUCCAGAACAAGGCAGCCUUGAACUGGUGUCUGAGGAAGUGGAAACGCCCAGUGGAAAUGCAGCAACCCAUUUGGCUGUGGCUACCACACAGACUAUGAGAACCAGGUGGUAUGAGGCGGAGAGGCCCGUGGGUGGAACUUAGAAGAUCUCCACGGAUUCCACCACAGUGCAUCCGAUUGCAUUUAUUUUUAUGUGUCCUUCACUGUUUCCCAAAUCUCAGAAUUUGUGUCUUUCAUCAAUAUAAGAACAUUGUCAGAAAAGAUCUUUGCAGAGCUUGUGCAUCCCUCAGGCUCUGUUGUCUCUUUCUGGGGCACAGUUCUAUGUAUGCUCAGCCCUUUGCGACAUCUCCUCACCAUCAUUUCCUUUGUCGUAUUUUCCAUCUGCUCCUUUGCCUCGAGCUCUGAGCGAUUCCUUCAGCUCUGUCUUCCAGGCAGCAGUUAAUCGCCCCUUUUGUUAUUUGCUCUUUCUGUUGUCGUUUCUGAUUGCUCCAGCCUUUUAGUUUCUGGAAGUAAUGCCUUACUUUUCAGCAGAACCAGUUUUGAAAGCAUGGUAACCAUGCUCCUUUCCAUGUUUUGAAUUUCACUCGGUUUCUGUAACAAGUUUAAGCAUCUCCAUUUUAUAACCUCGGACAAUUUCUGUUCUGAUUUCCUUUAGGAUUUCACUCUUCUAUGUGUUAUUUCG